AUGUACACUUUUUCAUCUCUAUCUGACUCCCCUAAUCAUACAACAUUUAUCAUAUUUCAUACUGCAUUUUCCCCCUCAAAAUCUGAAACUAAUCUUCAUUUUUCUCAACUACCCAUAUUUCAAUUGUAAGUCUGUGUCUAGCGUUUGUAUGUCUUUUGCAGCUGAGCUUUUUUUGUAAAUAG
rnacentral:sRNA from 1 species